rnacentral:SRP_RNA from 1 species
GCCAGGCAUGGUGGCAUGUGCCUGUAGUCCCAGCUACUCAGGAGGCUGAGGUGGGAGAAUCACUUGAGCCCAGGAGGCCGAGGUUGCAGUGAGCUGAGAUCUUGCCACUGCACUCCAGCCUGGGCGACAGAGUGAGACUCUGUCUCCA